UCAAAACUGUACAGUACAUACUCAAGCAUAAACAAGUAUGCAGCUUAUAUUACUGUUAAACAAUUCCCUGCCAGCUUUUUCAGUGCUGCACUUAUUUCUGAGUUAUAACAUGCCUGCUCUGAUCUCUGGGGA